rnacentral:sRNA from 1 species
CAAUAUGGAAACAGAACAUGGCUCAAAAAUGAGAAAAAGCAUAGAAAUAAUUUAUGCAAUUACAUCUGUGAUUCUUGCUUCUGUAUCUGUAAUAAAUGAAAGUGAGAACUACGAAGCCCUACUGGAAUGUGUUAUUAUAUUAAAUGGUAUUUUAUAUGCAUUACCUGAGUCUGAACGAAAACUACAGAGUUCUAUUCAGGAUUUGUGUGUUACCUGGUGGGAGAAAGGCCUGCCUGCCAAGGAAGACACAGGAAAGACAGCCUUUGUCAUGUUACUAAGGAGGAGUCUGGAGACUAAGACAGGUGCAGACAUAUGUCGGCUUUGGCGUAUCCAUCAAGCUUUAUAUUGCUUUGAUUAUGAUUUGGAGGAAAGUGGAGAAAUUAAAGAUAUGUUACUUGAGUGCUUCAUAAAUAUUAAUUAUAUCAAGAAAGAAGAGGGAAGAAGAUUUCUUAGUUGUCUCUUCAACUGGAAUAUAAACUUUAUCAAAAUGAUCCAUGGGACCAUUAAAAACCAGUUACAGGGAUUACAAAAGUCUUUGAUGGUAUACAUUGCAGAAAUUUAUUUCAGAGCUUGGAAAAAGGCUUCAGGGAAAAUACUGGAGACGAUUGAAAAUGAUUGCAUCCAGGACUUCAUGUUCCACGGGAUACACCUUCCGAGGAGGUCUCCAGUGCAUUCCAAAGUGCGGGAGGUUCUGAGUUACUUUCACCAUCAAAAGAAAGUUCGUCAGGGAGUGGAAGAGAUGCUUUAUAGAUUAUAUAAGCCCAUCCUUUGGAGAGGAUUAAAGGCCAGAAACUCUGAAGUUCGAUCAAAUGCUGCAUUGUUGUUUGUUGAAGCAUUUCCUAUUAGGGAUCCAAACCUUCAUGCUAUUGAAAUGGAUAGUGAAAUUCAGAAACAGUUUGAAGAGCUCUAUAGCCUUUUAGAAGAUCCUUACCCGAUGGUCCGUUCCACAGGGAUCCUUGGUGUGUGUAAAAUAACUUCUAAGUACUGGGAAAUGAUGCCCCCGACCAUUCUUAUUGACCUCCUGAAGAAGGUGACUGGGGAACUGGCAUUUGACACGAGCUCAGCUGAUGUUCGUUGUUCUGUCUUUAAGUGCCUGCCAAUGAUUUUGGACAACAAACUGAGCCACCCAUUGUUAGAGCAGCUCCUUCCAGCUCUCAGAUACAGUCUCCACGACAAUUCUGAGAAAGUGAGGGUGGCUUUUGUGGACAUGCUGUUGAAGAUCAAAGCUGUGAGGGCUGCUAAGUUUUGGAAAAUAUGCCCCAUGGAGCACAUUCUGGUUCGUCUGGAAACUGAUUCUCGACCUGUGUCUCGGCGCCUGGUGAGCCUCAUCUUUAAUUCUUUCCUGCCUGUGAAUCAGCCGGAGGAGGUCUGGUGCGAGCGCUGUGUCACCCUGGUGCAGAUGAACCACGCUGCUGCCAGGAGGUUCUAUCAGUACGCCCACGAACACACCGCCUGCACCAACAUAGCAAAGCUGAUUCACGUUAUUCGUCAUUGCUUAAAUGCCUGUAUCCAGAGGGCAGUGAGAGAGCCUCCAGAGGAUGAGGAGGAAGAGGACGGAAGGGAGAAGGAGAAUGUGACUGUUCUGGACAAAACACUGUCAGUAAACGAUGUUGCAUGCAUGGCAGGUUUACUAGAAAUCAUUGUGAUUCUCUGGAAAAGUAUUGACAGAAGUAUGGAAAAUAAUAAAGAGGCCAAACUUUACACCAUUAACAAGUUUGCCUCUGUGCUUCCAGAGUAUCUGAAAGUAUUUAAGGAUGAUCGCUGCAAGAUCCCUUUAUUCAUGCUAAUGUCCUUUAUGCCGGCCUCUGCUGUCCCUCCAUUCAGCUGUGGUGUGAUUUCCACGCUGAGAAGCCGGGAGGAGGGCGCUGUGGACAAGAGCUACUGCACUUUGUUGGAUUGCCUCUGCUCCUGGGGGCAGGUGGGGCACAUUCUGGAGCUUGUUGACAACUGGCUGCCCACAGAGCAUGCCCAGGCCAAGAGCAACACAGCUUCUAAACGUAAGGUGCAGAUCCAUGACACACGCCCAGUCAAACCUGAAUUGGCAUUGGUCUACAUUGAGUAUUUGCUGACUCAUCCAAAGAAUCGCGAGUGCUUGCUCUCUGCUCCUCGGAAGAAACUUAACCAUCUUUUGAAAGCCCUUGAAACGUCAAAGGCAGAUCUGGAGUCACUUCUGCAGACACCAGGUGGGAAGCCUCGUGGCUUCAGUGAAGCGGCUGCCCUGCGAGCCUUUGGUCUCCACUGUCGCCUGAGCAUCCAUCUUCAGCACAAGGUGCGCCUGCUCCUGGCCCUCUAUUAGGAUGAUAUGCAGUGCUCUUUUUGUUACUGAUUUAUCUUCUUGUUUUUGGACAGUUCUGCUCAGAAGGAAAGGUGUAUUUGUCCAUUUUGGAAGACACUGGCUUUUGGUUAGAAAGCAAAAUUUUAUCUUUUAUUCAAGAUCAAGAAGAAGACUAUCUGAAGCUUCAUAGGGUCAUUUAUCAGCAAAUUAUCCAGACCUACCUGACUGUGUGUAAAGAUGUUGUUAUGGUAGGCCUUGGUGACCAUCAGUUUCAGAUGCAACUCUUACAGCGGAGUCUUGGAAUCAUGCAAACAGUGAAGGGAUUUUUUUAUGUUUCAUUACUUCUUGACAUUCUGAAAGAGAUAACUGGAAGUUCCUUGAUUCAGAAAACGGAUUCAGAUGAAGAAGUUGCAAUGCUGUUGGACACAGUCCAGAAAGUAUUUCAGAAAAUGUUGGAAUGUAUCGCACGGAGCUUCAGGAAGCAGCCGGAAGAAGGCCUGCGGCUCCUUUAUUCUGUUCAGAGGCCUCUUCAUGAGUUCAUUACUGCUGUUCAGUCUCGGCACACAGACACCCCUGUGCAUCGGGGUGUACUUUCUACUCUGAUCGCUGGGCCUGUGGUUGAGAUAAGUCACCAGCUACGGAAGGUUUCUGACAUAGAAGAGCUAACCCCUCCAGAGCAUCUUUCUGAUCUUCCACCAUUUUCAAGGUGUUUAAUAGGAAUAAUAAUAAAGUCUUCGAAUGUGGUCAGGUCAUUUUUGGAUGAAUUAAAGGCGUGUGUGGCUUCUAAUGAUAUUGAAGGCAUUGUGUGCCUCACGGCUGCUGUGCAUAUUAUCCUGGUUAUUAAUGCAGGUAAACACAAAAGCUCAAAAGUGAGGGAGGUUGCAGCCACCGUUCACAGAAAACUAAAGACAUUCAUGGAAAUUACUUUGGAAGAGGAUAGCAUUGAAAGAUUUCUCUAUGAAUCAUCAUCAAGAACUCUGGGAGAACUUUUGAAUUCAUAA